rnacentral:rRNA from 1 species
AGAGUUUGAUCAUGGCUCAGGACGAACGCUGGCGGCGUGCUUAACACAUGCAAGUCGAGCGGAAAGGCCCUUCGGGGUACUCGAGCGGCGAACGGGUGAGUAACACGUGAGGAACCUGCCCUGGACUUUGGGAUAACCCUCGGAAACGGGGGCUAAUACCGAAUAUGACUACUGAUCGCAUGGUUGGUGGUGGAAAGUUUUUCGGUCUGGGAUGGUCUCGCGGCCUAUCAGCUUGUUGGUGGGGUAAUGGCCUACCAAGGCGACGACGGGUAGCCGGCCUGAGAGGGCGACCGGCCACACUGGGACUGAGACACGGCCCAGACUCCUACGGGAGGCAGCAGUGGGGAAUAUUGCACAAUGGGCGGAAGCCUGAUGCAGCGACGCCGCGUGAGGGAUGACGGCCUUCGGGUUGUAAACCUCUUUCAGCAGGGACGAAGCGCAAGUGACGGUACCUGCAGAAGAAGCGCCGGCCAACUACGUGCCAGCAGCCGCGGUAAGACGUAGGGCGCGAGCGUUGUCCGGAUUUAUUGGGCGUAAAGAGCUCGUAGGCGGCUUGUCGCGUCGACUGUGAAAACCCGCGGCUCAACCGCGGGCCUGCAGCCGAUACGGGCAGGCUAGAGUUCGGUAGGGGAGACUGGAAUUCCUGGUGUAGCGGUGAAAUGCGCAGAUAUCAGGAGGAACACCGGUGGCGAAGGCGGGUCUCUGGGCCGAUACUGACGCUGAGGAGCGAAAGCGUGGGGAGCGAACAGGAUUAGAUACCCUAGUAGUCC